CGCGGCCUAUCAGCUUGUUGGUGAGGUAACGGCUCACCAAGGCAUCGACGGGUAGCUGGUCUGAGAGGACGAUCAGCCACACUGGGACUGAGACACGGCCCAGACUCCUACGGGAGGCAGCAGUAGGGAAUCUUGCGCAAUGGGCGAAAGCCUGACGCAGCAACGCCGCGUGGGGGAUGAAUGCCUUCGGGUUGUAAACCCCUUUCAGCAGGGACGAAAAUGACGGUACCUGCAGAAGAAGCUCCGGCCAACUACGUGCCAGCAGCCGCGGUAAUACGUAGGGAGCGAGCGUUGUCCGGAAUUAUUGGGCGUAAAGAGCUCGUAGGCGGUUCAGUAAGUCGGGUGUGAAAACUCAAGGCUCAACCUUGAGACGCCACUCGAUGCUGCUGUGACUUGAGUCCGGUAGAGGAGUGUGGAAUUCCUGGUGUAGCGGUGAAAUGCGCAGAUAUCAGGAGGAACACCAGCGGCGAAGGCGGCACUCUGGGCCGGUACUGACGCUGAGGAGCGAAAGCAUGGGGAGCAAACAGGAUUAGAUACCCUGGUAGUCCAUGCCGUAAACGUUGGGCACUAGGUAUGGGAUCAUAUCAACGGAUUCCGUGCCGUAGCUAACGCAUUAAGUGCCCCGCCUGGGGAGUACGG
rnacentral:rRNA from 1 species